UACGUGGGCUACGAGCGUUAUCCGGAAUUAUUGGGCAUAAAGAGAUGCGUAGGUGGAUAGAUAAGUCAUUUGUCAAAGCCCGGAGCUUAACUCCGGAAAGGCAAAUGAUACUGUCUGUCUUGAGGGAGAGAGGGGGAAGUGGAAUUCCAAGUGGAGCGGUGAAAUGCGUUGAUAUUUGGAGGAACACUAGUGGCGAAGGCGACUUCCUGGCUCUUACCUGACACUGAGGCUCGAAAGCGUGGGGAUCAAA
rnacentral:rRNA from 1 species